rnacentral:rRNA from 1 species
AUACGGAGGAUCCGAGCGUUAUCCGGAUUUAUUGGGUUUAAAGGGUGCGCAGGCGGCCAUUUAAGUCAGCGGUUAAAUCGUGGGGCUCAACCCCAUUCUGCCGUUGAUACUGGGUGGCUUGAUUGCGGUCGAGGUUGGCGGAAUUCGUUGUGGAGCGGUGAAAUGCAUAGAUAUGACGAAGAACACCGAUUGCGUAGGCAGCUGACCAGACCGCAAAUGACGCUCAUGCACGAAAGUGCGGGGAUCGAACAGGAUUAGAUACCCUGGUAGUCCGCACAGUAAACGAUGAAUACUUGUUUUCGGCGUUAUAAUGUCGGAGGCAAAGCGAAAGCGAUAAGUAUUCCACCUGGGGAGUACGCCGGCAACGGUGAAACUCAAAGGAAUUGACGGGG